rnacentral:rRNA from 1 species
CGGCAACAGCUCAAAUUUGAAAUCUGGCCUCUUUGGGGUCCGAGUUGUAAUUUGGAGAGGAUGUUUCGGGUACGGUCCGGGCUUAAAUUUCUUGGAACAGAAUGUCACAGAGGGUGAGAAUCCCGUCUGUGAUCUG